rnacentral:rRNA from 1 species
GACGAACGCUGGCGGCGUGCUUAACACAUGCAAGUCGAACGGUAAGGCCCUUCGGGGUACACGAGUGGCGAACGGGUGAGUAACACGUGGGUGAUCUGUCCUGCACUUCGGGAUAAGCCUGGGAAACUGGGUCUAAUACCGGAUAGGACCACUGGCUGCAUGGGCGGUGGUGGAAAGCUUUUGCGGUGUGGGAUGGGCCCGGGGCCUAUCAGCUUGUUGGUGGGGUGAUGGCCUACCAAGGCGACGAAGGGGAGCCGGCCUGAGAGGGUGACCGGGCAGACUGGGAAUGUGAUGAGGCCUAGACUCCUACGGGAUGCAGAAGGGGGGAAUAUUGUACAAUGGGCGCAAGCCUGAUGCAGCGACGCCGCGUGAGGGAUGACGGCCUUCGGGUUGUAAACCUCUUUCAGCUAUGACGAAGCGCAAGUGACGGUAGUAGCAGAAGAAGGACCGGCCAACUACGUGCCAGCAGCCGCGGUAA